rnacentral:rRNA from 1 species
UACGUAGGGGGCAAGCGUUGUCCGGAAUCAUUGGGCGUAAAGAGCGUGUAGGCGGCUCGGUAAGCCCGCUGUGAAAGUCCAGGGCUCAACCCUGGAAUGCCGGUGGAAACUGUCGAGCUAGAGUCCGGAAGAGGCGAGUGGAAUUCCUGGUGUAGCGGUGAAAUGCGCAGAUAUCAGGAGGAACACCAAUGGCGAAGGCAGCUCGCUGGGACGGUACUGACGCUGAGACGCGAAAGCGUGGGGAGCAAACAGG